CAUGCUUUACAUCUCUCCUACCUUUUUAUUCCAUGGCAUCCCUCUUACUGAACCCAGCUGCAGAAAUUUCUUUGAAUUUAAGGCCUUGAGGGAUUAGAUUGAACCUGGUUGGGCAAUCCAGGAAUUUCUAAAAUUCCACUGAUUAGCAACCUUAGUUUCAUCUUCAAAGUCCCUUCUUCCAUUUAACACAGGAUCCGUGGAUUAAGGUGUAGACAUCUUUGGGGAGUGAUUCUCUGAACUUCAACAAAUGGUAUAAUGGCUAAUGACAUGGACGUUGGAGACAGAUGACGUGCACGUCUUGCUUGUACUCCAGAAGCUGCCACUCAAGUUAUAUGCAACACUGUGAAGAACAUCUUGGAACUGAAAUUACUGGAUCUUUAUGAUUUUUCCAGUUUAAUAAAUCUUUGCUGACUCAAAGGUUAUGAAAAUUCUCUGUUUCCCUCUGCAAGCAUGAUUUCUAGAUCAUUGAAAUUAUACGCCUGACUUGCAUUAUAUGUCUAUUGGACAUGGCUGCCUUACAGCAUCCACUAAAAAUAUAAAACAAAGAGGCAUA